AAGUGUCCCUUUCCACUACACUUAAGGAAAACUUCCUCCUUGGUUGAGCACUUGGGGGCAUAGUGACCAGUAUUCCCACAUUUGAAGCAGGUCACUUCCUUAUGGCAUCCCCCAUUGUGUUUCCUUCUAUACUUGUAACACGAUUUUGCUUCACCUCUUCAUCCUCCAGACUGUGAGAACAUGUUAUUCUUUUAGGACCUUGAAGUUCCCUCAAAUUUCCUCUUCUUGCCAACCUCAACCCAGAUGGUUGCCCCAAGAGUUGGUGCCUGGCGUACUGGCACAGUAAGUUUGUUUUUAGUUUGUUGAAGUAAACGCCUUGUUUCUUGCAUCUGUUGAUCCAACAUUAUCCCCACCAUUGCAUGUACUCUUGCCAUCGUAAUUGGCACAGGUGCAGCUGUUACUUCUGGUGCAUGCUCAAUCACUUGUGUUUUGGGCUGUAGGUUUCCACUUCCAAUUCCACUUUGAGUGGUCACCAUGUCGAUCUAUACACCAAGUCGGAUGUUCGGUGUGUAGUGACAAGAAUUAAGAUAGGAAAGAUUUUAUUUACGAUCGACGUGUAAAUCUGCCUAUUACUCUGAAAAGGUACAUGCCAUUUCUAAUACCUUAAUUAAACGUUUAGAAAUCUGAACACAUAAAGUUUCCAGAUCCGGUCGGCAACAAACCAUAGAUCCUAUUAUAUAUUAGCAUCAUAAAGCAUCAUAAAUCAUUUAGCACAUAAAAGCAUGUUAGAAAUUUUCCCUAAAUCAGCUAGUGCUUGUGCCUAUUCAGGUGUAUUACCUGAGACACACUUCUCACAAUCAUUUCUUGGUAUUCUAAGUUUAAGUCUAGAAAUAAAUCCAUAUUGCUAGUUUGCUUAAAAUAAGAGUACCUCUUUUUAAUAAGAGUACCUCUUUUUGAUACCAACUGUGACAUCCCCAUUUUCACGGCCAGGAAAGACCGAUUUUUUUUUUAUGCUUUACAAAAAUAAGAGUACCUCUUUUUAAUAAAAGUGUUCCCAGUGUAACAUGAUAAAUACGUUAUCAGGGCAUUUCCGAAUAAAACUAUUUUUAUUCAUUUUAAAACAUUUGGGAUGUCAUCGUCAAUAGCUAAACAUAAGCAUAAACAGAACUUACGUUCAUUAUCACUAGUGAUUUAUAUCUCCUUAAUCUCUUAGAGUAACGUGACUUCAUAUCAACACCUGUGAUAUAAAUAAACUGAGUGGGUCAGCUUGGGAAACCUAGUGAAUACAUAGGGUUUUCAACCCACAAUAAGAAAAUUAUUAUGUUUAAUCAUCAAACAGUUAAGCCAAUUAGCCAUCCCCAUUAUCCUCUUUAAUCUUAAGGAUCUACCCUAAGAAUCAGCUAUUUCUCGUUUAUUCAUUCCCAAGGAUUAUACAAUGGAAUAGGUACGAAUUCCAUCGUUAUCAAUGACACAACUAUCAAGUACAUCUGCUAGUUUGAACAAAAUGAAGAUUUAUAGUAUUUCUUGAAACAAUUAAAUAGGUGUUCAAGUUCACCCUAGACUAUGCCUCUAAUAGGCUACCCUGACAAUACUAUGGCUUCUUCAUAACUUGAUCUUUGGAUAUCAAACCUUCACUCCUGAAACCUUGAUUUUUUAGUAGCUUCGCCAAGGAUCCUCAAGAAUGCUCUUUCCUUCGGCUUUGGCGGCACAUUCGGUCUCGUUGCUUCAUUUUUCUUCAGGCAGUCCGUAGACAUGUGCCUCGUAUGUCGGCAUCUAUAACAUACUUUAUCCCUAUGUGUACAGUCCAUGCAAUGGUGACCGAUUCUUCCACACCUGUAACAAGUCACUUCUUCGUUGCAUCCCUCAUAGUGCUUCAGCGGUACAUUUGGCAUUGUAGCCCUUACUAGACAAUCUCUCUUGAAGUGUCCCUUCCCACUACACUUAAGGAAAAAUUCCUCCUUGGUUGAGCACUUGGGGGCAUAGUGACCAUUAUUCCCACAUUUGAAGCAGGUCACUUCCUUAUGGCAUCGCCCAUUGUGUUUCCUUCUAUACUUGUAACACGAUUUUGCUUCACCUCUUCCUCCUCCAGACUGUGAGAACAUGUUAUUCUUGUUGGACCUUGAAGUUCCCUCAAAUUUCCUCUUCUUGCCAACCUCAACCCAGAUGGUUGCCCCAAGAGUAGGUGCCUGGCGUACUGG
rnacentral:lncRNA from 1 species